AUUGAACGCUGGCGGCAGGCCUAACACAUGCAAGUCGAACGGUAACAGGAAGAAGCUUGCUUCUUUGCUGACGAGUGGCGGACGGGUGAGUAAUGUCUGGGAAACUGCCUGAUGGAGGGGGAUAACUACUGGAAACGGUAGCUAAUACCGCAUAACGUCGCAAGACCAAAGAGGGGGGACCUUCGGGCCUCUUGCCAUCGGAUGUGCCCAGAUGGGAUUAGCUAGUAGGNGGGGUAACGGCGUCACCUAGGCGACGAUCCCUAGCUGGUCUGAGAGGAUGACCAGCCACACUGGAACUGAGACACGGUCCAGACUCCUACGGGAGGCAGCAGUGGGGAAUAUUGCACAAUGGCGCAAGCCUGAUGCAGCCAUGCCGCGUGUAUGAAGAAGG
rnacentral:rRNA from 1 species